CAAGUAUACAAAGAGAUUGUUAUGGAAUCAUAGCUAUAUAUCAAAGAGAGAUAGCCUUAAUGGUUAUCUAAACUAUACAUGCGCUUUUGCAUGUUCAACUCUAAUAAGAAAUUAUGUGUCUUAAAAAUAAACGAAGUGAAUUGAAAUAUCUUACUAACUUCAGGAAAAUAAAUCAAAAGAGAUUCUUUAAGUAAUGUGAAUGAAAUAAGAAAAGUCUUAAACAAGUAAAAUGGAGUGCAUAUCUGUUUGAAUAAAAGGGGAACCUUCCUCUAAGACUAAAUAUGAUAUAUAUGCGAUAGCGAAUAGUACCGUGAGGGAAAUGAUAUAAAUAGCAGUUUUAUAAGCAGCUCAAAAAAAGUUUAAAUAAACAAUAAGAGCGUACCUUUUGCAUAAUGGGUCAGCAAGUUAAUGUUUGAUGCGAGCAGUUUAGAAGUUUACAAUUAACAGUUACUUUAACUAUUGCGUAGAUAAAACAAUUAUGAUAUAAUGAUGUAGUAUCAAAAAUUAGACCCGAAGCUUAGUGAUCUUACCACAAUCAGGAUUAUAAAAGUCCGAACGGGUUAUCGUUGUAAAGAUAUCCGAAGAAUUGUGGUAAGUUAGUGAAAGACAAUACUGACUAAGAUAGCUGGUUUUCUGCGAAACCUAUCUGAGUAGGUAAUUUAAAUAGAAUAUCAGAAGGUACAGAAUUGUGAUCUCAUGCAACUAGUACUCAUUUUUCCUGUUAAUUUAGGAAAAAAAAUAAAGUGCUUUUUGCGGACAUUGGGGGGUCGUGAAGACUCUAUCAGUGAGUAUUUGUUCUCGGAAGGACUAGAUAUGAAUAUUGAAUAAUCAGACAUAGUACGAAGAGGUUGUAUGUCUAAAGGGAAACAGCCCAGAACAAGAGUUAAUAAGGUUCCAAAAUUAUUGUUAAGUGAAAUUAAGGCAGUACUUAUCCAAAACGGCCAGCGAAUAGGCUUAGAAGCGGCCAUUUUCUGAAGACCUCGUAACAGAGCACUGGUUUUGUUUUAAUGAUAAAACCACCGAUAAUUUAACGGAUCUAAACAAUAUACCGAGACCUUGUCCAAAUAUAUUAAUGUAUCUAAAUUUUACAUUGUAUAUUAGGGGUAGCGGAACAUUGGGGAAGUUUCUUAUUAUGCCUUUAUAAGGCAUAAAAAUAAUUAACAACCCAAGCGAUAAUGCUGACAUGAGUAACGAUAAAGGGGAAUACCCUCGCCUAAAGCUUAUGGAAUUUAAUUAAAGUUACGGCCUCUAAGUUUAUUAUAUAUUUAAUGAAUAAUCUGUUAUUUAUUAAUAAUCCCAAAGGGGGUAAACGAUGAGCAAAUCUAAGAUUUAUAGAAAAUAUCAUUUUUACAUAGUGACAAAUGAUCUGGAAAACUGUAUAUCUCGUUUGCUAAAUAGGAAUAAACUAAAACAGAUGAUAUGUUUAGUAGAUGCUUUACCGUACCUAAAUACUACCACAAGUAAGCAAGUAGAGUAUACGAAGGCGUUCGAGUGAACAAUCAUUAAGGAACUCGGCAAAUUGACUCGCGUAACUUCGGGAGAAGGUGGGCCGUCCCUUUUGAUUAAUAUCAGAUAUGGGAUAGGAGGCACAGAAUGGUGUUGUACGACUGUUUAAUUAAAACAAAGCACGCUGCAAAGAAAUAAAUUCGAAGUAUUGGGUGUGAUCUCUGCCCGAUGGCGGCUGGCUAUCGGAUUUGCUUAGUUGACUAAUAUAAGCUAGGCUUUGAAGGAACCCCCGUUCAAUGGCGGCUUUACCUAUGAGGGCCCUAAGGUAGCGGAAUACCCUGGCCGUUAAAUGCGGUCUUGCAUCAAUGAUGUAACGAUACAACAGCUGUCUCAAUGAUUGGCUCGGUGAAAUUGUAAUAACUGUGCAGAUACAGUUUACCUCUAGUUGGACGAGAAGACCCUAUGCAGCUUUACUGUUGCUAGUUACCGAAUAUGAUAUAAUGAGUUUUAGUAUAUAAGGUAAUUGGUGAGAUAAAAUUGAAACACCUUUACUUCAUUUAUCAUAUUAUAUAAACCUUACCAGGGAAUAGGUCUAGUAAUGGCCAUUUCUUAAAGAAUUCAUGUUAACACAUGAGCACUGGUUGCAACAUUUUAUAGGAACAAUUGCUAGGUGGCAGUUUAUGCGGGGCACAGAUCCCAUAAAAAGUACCUGUCAAGUUUAACGGCUUAAUCUUGCUUUACUGUUUGACUUACACGUCUUUCAGUCGCGUAAGCGGGGCAUAUGAUCACAAGAUGCAGAAAGGAAAGGUCUUGGAUUAUUGAAAAAGCUACGCUAGGGAUAACAGGCUAAUUGCGCCAGAGAGUUCAAAUUGAGUGCGGAGUUUGGCACCUCGAUGUCGGCUUAGCUCAUCCACAUGAAUGCAGGAGUCAUGAAGGGUUCGACUGUUCGUCGAUUAAGGAGCUACACGAGCUGGGUUAAAUACGUCGUGAGACAGUAUGGUUUCUAUCUUCUAGAGGAAGUUAGAAUAAAAUAAGGAUAGCCCCUUGUACGAAAGGAGUUGGGUAUAUUAACCUAUGGUUUACCUGUUGUUUAUCUUUCUAUAUUAAUAUAGUUCUACAAGGACCACAAUGUCUUUUAUAACUGUGAUCUGUAAGUUUAUAGCUGAGUGUUCAAUCCACUAAGUACUAUGACUUACACUGGAAUUUUAUUUUUCACUAAAAUAAGAGGGUAAAAAUAAACUGAAAUAGAUGAUGUACCUGAUAAAAAGGAUAGGCAUGGCAGGAAGGCUACGUUAGUUAAUGAUAAGUGCUGAAUGCAUAUAGGCACGAAACAUACCUUAGGAUAUUCUUAAAUAUAUGUAGUUUAAUACUACGAUUUUAGCUCCUUUUUAUUUUUCAGUUUAUAUAUGCUAUUAAUUUCGAGUAAAAAAAAAAAUUACUAAAUAGACACACCGCGUAUAUCCCUGAAAUUACACUCCGGAUUUUAAUAAAAAUAUAUGACUCAAGAUAAAAACAGGAUCUUAAUUAAUAGGUCUAAGUUUAAAGAAUUGUGAUGUUCUUAGGCGUUAGGUACUAAUUUUAUAACCUACUAAGUAAUACGUUUAUCUAUAUAUUGCUGUUUACAUAUUUGGAUUUAAUAUAUAAUAUUAUUCUAUGCCUAACUAAAUACGAGUUUUAU
rnacentral:rRNA from 1 species